GAGCUGAGCUCAGGCAAGG
rnacentral:rRNA from 1 species